rnacentral:tRNA from 1 species
AAGGACAGAGCAUGUCGUGUUGCGGUUGGCUUGAAACCAAAUGGCGGGGGUUCAAUUCCUCCUGUCCUUG